CAGGCAAGCGGCUGCUGCAGCGUGGUGGAGAACAGCGUCAGGAACCACGACGACGCGUACCUGCAGACGACACAGGGGUGAGACAGUGGAGGUGUGAGGCGCAGCAGCAGCGUGAACCACACACAUUCUUCACUAAGCAUCCAAUCACCCAACCAACCAACCAACCAUCCAUCCAUCCAGUCACCCAACCAGACGCCCAACCAACCAUCCAUCCACUCACAUGGAGGUGUGGAAGCUCUGGGAGGUGAAGUGAGCAUGGAGGUCCGGGAGGUGUUCCUGGAUGAGGCACUCCAGCUGGUACAUGCACAGGCCCAGCUCAGCCAUGGAGGGUUUGAACAUCUCCCGCAUCCUGUAGUCCUGCAUCAGCUUCACCAGCACUGCAAAUGCUUCCUCCUCCGGCAUCUGGCAUGGGGAGGGGUUGAAUCACAUAAGAACAAAGAAAGUUGCAAGAAGCCAUCAGGCCUACAUGUGGCAGUCCCUGUGGAUUAGAAUGUUUUGAUCUCUGUGGCCAAAGACACCUCUACCUUGAAUUAAGAGCACUACUUUAUCACUUCCUCCUCUAGCAUCUGUUACAGUGAGGACUUGGGUCAGAAAACUUUGAUCUCCAUGGCCAGGAAGACACAUCUACUUUGAAUGAACCACCUCUCUAUUCCUGCAUAUUUCUCAGCUUCUAGAAUUUGGACUGACAAUAUACUAAAGAGGAGCAAUAAUCUACAGGCACUCAACCAUCACCCCCUUCACCCCCAUCUCCCGAGAGGAGUGCUGCCUUACCUGCAUGAGCAACAGGCCAACGAUGAAGGCCGAUCCCUGGCAGUAGCCCACCUCACGGUCGUGCAGAGAGUACGCCUUCAUCACGUUGAACAGACUCUCCUGCCCCAGCCCGUCCUUCUCCUUGAAAAACUCAUGCUCGGGGUAGGUCCGGGCCAUGUCCCUCCGGAUCACCUGACAAACAUAAAUUACAUGUCUGUCUGUUGCACGCUGUGAUGGGGCAUUAUACAUUGCUGGCACAUGUUCACUGGAAGCUCCUUUGCCUAAGCCUUUGAGAAAAUAAAUAAAAUAGACACAAAUGAA